rnacentral:rRNA from 1 species
AUUGAACGCUGGCGGCAGGCCUAACACAUGCAAGUCGAGCGCGCGGCGGACGGGUGUGUAUUGUAUGGGGACUGCCCGAUAGAGGGGGAUAACUACUGUAAACGGUAGCUAAUAUCCCCUACUAUCUGAUAACCCCUAUGGGAUUAGCUCGUAGGUGAGGUAAUGGCUCACCUAGGCGACGAUCCCUAGCUGGUCUGAGAGGAUGAUCAGCCACACGGGGACUGAGACACGGCCCAGACGCCUACGGAGGCAGCAGUGGGGAAUAUUGCACAAUGGGCGCAAGCCUGAUGCAGCCAUGCCGCGUGUAUGAAGAAGGCCCUAGGGUUGUAAAGUACUUUCAGUCGGGAGGCGUUACCGACAGAAGAAGCACCGGCUAACUCCGUGCCAGCAGCCGCGGUAAUAC